GGACUGACGACUUCUCUAUUGUUGGAGCCAUUUUGGAUUAACUGGACCACAGUCUCUGCUGUUGAGCGGGGUUCCAGUGAGGAGUUUUUGUUCUACCACGGGGAGUCCUCUGACCUCCACAGGAACACAGUGGCCGUCCUGUGCUCACACUUACAAUAAAACGAAAUGUUGAGCUGCUCACGUCCCUGCUUCAUUUCCCCAGCAUAGGACUUCGAUCCCUUACCCAAUG